rnacentral:rRNA from 1 species
AGAGUUUGAUCCUGGCUCAGGAUGAACGCUGGCGGCGUGCCUAACACAUGCAAGUCGAACGGUUAAACCGCCCUCGGGCGGACAUACUGUGGCGAACGGGUGAGUAACACGUGACCAACCUGCCCCGCGCUCCGGGACAACCGCAGGAAACGGCGGCUAAUACCGGAUACUCCGCGGCCCCCGCAUGGGGGCGGCGGGAAAGCCCCGACGGCGCGGGAUGGGGUCGCGGCCCAUUAGGUAGUAGGCGGGGUAGAGGCCCACCUAGCCGACGAUGGGUAGCCGGACUGAGAGGUCGAUCGGCCACAUUGGGACUGAGAUACGGCCCAGACUCCUACGGGAGGCAGCAGUGGGGAAUUUUGCGCAAUGGGGGAAACCCUGACGCAGCAACGCCGCGUGCGGGACGAAGGCCCUCGGGUCGUAAACCGCUUUCAGCAGGGAAGACCACGACGGUACCUGCAGAAGAAGCUCCGGCUAACUACGUGCCAGCAGCCGCGGUAAUACGUAGGGGGCAAGCGUUAUCCGGAUUCAUUGGGCGUAAAGCGCGCGUAGGCGGCCGCCUAAGCGGAACCUCUAACCCCGGGGCUCAACCUCGGGCCGGGUUCCGGACUGGGCGGCUCGAGUGCGGUAGAGGAGAGCGGAAUUCCCGGUGUAGCGGUGGAAUGCGCAGAUAUCGGGAAGAACACCGAUGGCGAAGGCAGCUCUCUUGGGCCGUCACUGACGCUGAGGCGCGAAAGCUGGGGGAGCGAACAGGAUUAGAUACCCUGGUAGUCCCAGCCGUAAACGAUGGAUACUAGGUGUGGGGGGGAUCCCCCCUCCGUGCCGCAGCCAACGCAUUAAGUAUCCCGCCUGGGGAGUACGGCCGCAAGGCUAAAACUCAAAGGAAUUGACGGGGGCCCGCACAAGCAGCGGAGCAUGUGGCUUAAUUCGAAGCAACGCGAAGAACCUUACCAGGGCUUGACAUGCGCCUGAAGCCGCGGAGACGCGGUGGCCGAGAGGAGGGCGCGCAGGUGGUGCAUGGCUGUCGUCAGCUCGUGUCGUGAGAUGUUGGGUUAAGUCCCGCAACGAGCGCAACACCCGUCCCGUGUUGCCAGCAUUAGGUUGGGGACUCGCGGGAGACUGCCGGCGUCAAGCCGGAGGAAGGUGGGGACGACGUCAAGUCAUCAUGCCCCUUAUGCCCUGGGCUGCACACGUGCUACAAUGGCCGGUACAGAGGGUUGCCACCCCGCGAGGGGGAGCGGAUCCCGGAAAGCCGGCCCCAGUUCGGAUCGCAGGCUGCAACCCGCCUGCGUGAGGCCGGAGUUGCUAGUAAUCGCGGAUCAGCACGCCGCGGUGAAUACGUUCCCGGGCCUUGCACUCACAGCCCGUCA